rnacentral:rRNA from 1 species
AUUGAACGCUGGCGGCAGGCUUAACACAUGCAAGUCGAACGAGUGGCGGACGGGUGAGUAAUGCUUGGGAAUCUAGCUUAUGGAGGGGGAUAACUACUGGAAACUGUAGCUAAUACCGCGUACCCUACGAUGAACCCAAAUGGGAUUAGGUAGUUGGUGAGGUAAAGGCUUACCAAGCCGACGAUGCCUAGCUGGUCUGAGAGGAUGACCAGCAACACUGGGACUGAGACACGGCCCAGACUCCUACGGGAGGCAGCAGUGGGGAAUAUUGCGCAAUGGGGGCAACCUGACGCAGCCAUGCCGCGUGAAUGAAGAAGGCCUUCGGGUUGUAAAGUUCUUUCGGUAGCGAGGCGUUAACUACAGAAGAAGCACCGGCUAACUCCGUGCCAGCAGCCGCGGUAAUAC